rnacentral:lncRNA from 1 species
AAAUACAGCAGUUAAAAAAUAUAACUUUAAACAAAAAAUAAAUUUACCAUCCUAAUAGCUUUUUAAAUAGUUUUUUUCACCACUACAUAUAUAUAUAUAUAAAGUGAGAAAAUUUUGAAAAUACAUUUCUCGGCUAUAUAAAAUCAAAUAAAUUAUUUAAGAAAAACUCCAAAUACCAUCAUGUGGUUUCACACUUUCUCACUAUAAUACUAUGUAAUUUAAAGUAUAUCAAUUUAGUGACUGUGGUUUCAUUUUUAUCUUUUUAUUAUCGAUUUCACUAAUUUUUUUUGUUAAAUCAGUGACAAAGUGAAAACUAAAUGGUACUAAAAUAAAUAUUCGAUAAAAAUGAAACCACAUGGGUGACGAAAAGAUAAAAAUUUAACGAAAUAUUAACGAAAAAGCUGAGAAAAAGAUAAAAAUGAAACCACGGGACACUAACUUGAUACACUUUAAACUACAUGGUACUAAAGUAAGAAAGUGCAAAAUUACAUGGGUGGCAUUUGAAGUUUACCCAAUUAUUUAUAAAUGAAAUAUAUAGU